AACGAGAUCGGGAAGCCAUCGAACCGUCUCUCCCUCCCUUCCGCGGAUCGUCGCCGACCGGGCAGAGGACUACCUGCGGCUCCCAUGCCGAGGGGCAGGAGGACGGAGCCGUCGCGCGGCCCAAGGCGUUGCUCCUCCUUUGGAGCUAUUGAUGGGGUUCACUUGGGCCGAUCAUCAUCGGAGUCGAUGUGGAGUGUGAUCUGCUCUUGUCUCGUGCUUGACGUUCUUGAUCUUUUGCGCUGUUAGUUUCUCGAUCCUUUUUUCUCAUCUUGAAUUCGGAAGACAUGAUUUAGAUUCCGAUCCUACCUCGUCAUCGGACUCCGCUGCCGCUCGCACGCGGGUCGUCGCUUUCUUCUGCUGCUGCCGUGGCGAGACCGAUGACAAGGAGCAGGAGGACGGAGCCGUCGCGAGGCCCGAGGCGGUUCUCCUUCGUUGGGGCGCAUCAUCAUCGGACUCUCCGGUUUCUCGUCGAUGUGGAGUGUGAUCUGCUCUAUUCUCGUGUCUGAUGUUCUUGAUCUGGUACCUCUGUUUGUUUCUUGAUUCUUGUUUCUGGUCUUGCAUGUCGAAGACAUCAUUUAGAUCCCGAUCCUACUUUCCCCCCCAAGACUUAUGGAGCUGUCGCGAGACGUUCAACAAGUUCGCCUCUGUUUAGGCCCAAGCCGGCUUCGCUUCGGCAGAUUAUCAUCGGAGCUUCCGGUUUCCCGCUGAUCCCGAUCUCAAGACAUGAUUUCCGUCGUCCCUCGUCGAAAGUGAAGGCCUAACCCGGCUUCACUUCAGCCGAUCUUCAAUCGAGUAUAAGGUUUCACAUCUGGCGAGUUUGAAAGUUAAGAUGCAAACUCAUUCAUCUAUAAUUGUUUUGCCUCUCAUUCUGUGCUAACUCCCACAUUAAAGUCAGAUUAGUGUCGUUUCAGCUUCCUGAACAGGCUUCCAGAAUCUUGUAAAUGUCAAGAAAAAUCUGUAUAUGCAAUGAUUCCAGAAACUCUACAA